UACGUAGGGGGCUAGCGUUGUCCGGAAUCAUUGGGCGUAAAGCGCGUGUAGGCGGUUCGGUAAGUCCGCUGUGAAAGUCGGGGGCUCAACCCUCGGAUGCCGGUGGAUACUGUCGAGCUUGAGUACGGAAGAGGCGAGUGGAAUUCCUGGUGUAGCGGUGAAAUGCGCAGAUAUCAGGAGGAACACCAAUGGCGAAGGCAGCUCGCUGGGACGUUACUGACGCUGAGACGCGAAAGCGUGGGGAGCAAACAGG
rnacentral:rRNA from 1 species